CUGCCGUCUUGCCCGGUUUUACCUUCCUGCGCCAUGCCUGUCCAGAUAAGCUAAAGUUCACAUGGAAGAGCCCCGUGACCUUUGCUUCCAUCUCUGCUUCCUGACCUGGACUUCAGAACCCAGUUUCCAAGAUCUCUUUCAGGAGGCCACUGGACCAGUCAGAGGGAGGAGUCACUUGAACUCCUACUCAGCUCUCCUUGGCCCUGCCACUCCUCCCCCAGCCCACAGGGCCUACGGAAGCCUCGGAAGCCUCGCCUCAUCCCUGGGCCACAGGGAAUCAUUCAAGAAAGAGCCAAGUAAACAAAGACCCACCAGCCUGCCUGCAAUGAUGGGAGACUAGUCCUCAGAACAAGCUGGAGGUCUGGAGGGGUCCUGUCCAUUAUUCCUGUGAGCCCCAGGCUCUGCUUCUCGUCAGGUCCCCAGGGUAGUCUGUGCAUUGUACCUUCCUGUCACCACUUCCGUCCAGUUGUGCAGGUGCCCCUGAGCCGUCGGGAAGAAGAUGCAGAGAGACAGAGAGCAUGAGAGUGCCUUAGACUCACAUUGGGCAAGUAAACAUCAGCUGUAAUCUAAAUGACAGAGGAAAUGCAUCUUUCACACAUCUGGAGUCACAGCCACAGGCUGCCAGGUCAGAGGGUUCACAGCCUCCCAGGGGACUCUUCUCUUAUCAUAAUGAAACUGCGCCAAGGAAGAAUGCAGCCGGUAUUGUCCACAACCUAAACAUGGCUGGGAAUGAGAUCCUUGAAUCUAAUCUCCUUUGCUUAGUUUCCUCCCUGACCAUGUCCAAAAACAAUUUGUAACCGACCCUCCUAAAUGAUGACAAACAUCCACCAAAUGACCAAAAACCACUCAACUCCACCUCUUGG